rnacentral:lncRNA from 1 species
GGGUAUGGCCAUAGCCAAUGUCCGGUAUGAUCAUCCAUUUCUUAGCAUUAACAUGUAAUGGUUGAAGGUAAGUAUUUAUGAAAAGAAAUACAAAAUAACAAUUAAGUAAUGUUUAUGAGGUAAAUAACAAAUACAUGUGAUCGAUCGUGGACAAUCAAUGAAUAACAUAGUUCUUCCAAUCGAUCGUAGAUUCCUAAUAAAUUUACGUAUUCAUCACGCCACUGAGUUAGCUCUUCAUAAAGUUGAUGUUUG